GAUAAACGCUGGCGGCGUGCCUAACACAUGCAAGUCGAACGCCCUGUGCCUCUUCGGAGGCGCAGGGAGUGGCGGACGGGUGAGUAACACAUGGGUACCUAUCUUUCAGUGAGGAAUACCGGCGAGAAAUCGCCGACAAGACCGCAUGGGCUUGCUGGUGGAGACAUCGGCAAGCAAAGCUCUUUCCGGAGGGCGCUGGAAGCUGGGCCUGUGGCCGAUUAGCUGGUUGGUGGGGUAAGCGCUCACCAAGGCGACGAUCGGUAGCUGGUCUGAGAGG
rnacentral:rRNA from 1 species